rnacentral:pre_miRNA from 1 species
GGGGGGAGGCCGGAUCCGGGGCUGUGUCCCCAGCGCCCUGUGCUCCGGGGCCUGCGCUGCUGGAAUCGUGCUGACGGCCGCACAGCCCCCU